GAAUAGCAGUAGCCUUCUACCAGGAUAUUAAAAAUCUUGCACUUGAGUCUUUUCUUGACAGUAAUAUACCUCUGGACAUUAAUCUCUGCCUGGGUCAGUUUUAGAGGGUGUUUAUUUAGAUCCAAGUAAGCCCAUUCUCCUGUGAAAUAAAAAAAAGGCAAUUUGGUACUUAAUUUCUUCUUUAUUUUUUGUGGAUACACCAUAGAGUUUCUCACAAAUUAGACUGUUAUUAUAAAGACAUGAAUCUGCUAACAUAUCUUAAACCAUAAAGAUUAUAAAGUAAGUCAAGGAUAUAUGUAAACAAAGCCAAAAUCCAAUCUGGCCAGAAGAAGCAAAAAAAGAAAAACAGAAACCAUUCAGCAGAAGCAAACAGAAUUACCAGCUGCCAAGCAGGGCUUUUCCAGGAGAGAAAAGUUCAGUCAAUUGGAAACAGAUCAAUAACCUAAUAAAUGCAGUUCAGGAAAAGAUAACGGCAUCAGCAUCAACAAAAUCUACCAUAAUUGAGUAGUUUAAGACAUCUGAGACCAAACGCUUUUUGUCAUAAAUAAAUUUGUCUUCAUUAAAUUAUAUUUAAUCUAAGUAUAACUUUCUAAAUGAAUUACAUUGUACAGUGCUACAUUUUCCAUUUGCCUUUGAGCCUGGCUCUCUGGGGUAUCCAGUGGAAACAUAUGCAUGGGUCUUGCUGCAUCCUCGGGCUUAGUGGGGAGGACUUCUCCUUGAAUGGCUCACGGUGAUGAGCCAAAGGCUAGAACUUAAACCCUGAUGGAUAAAGAUGUGACACUGGACCACCAUGUACCUGUUAGAGUCAUUUGAAGACUAGGCUAAUUCGUACCUGGACCUCUUUCUCAUUCCAGAAUUUGGUUUUAUCAGUGUUUUGAUUACAACCAAAGUCAACAAGGUCAUUUACAUGGACAAUGGCUGCUAAGAUUCUUGUAUGUAACAAAUAUUUUUAUCUGUGGCAUGUGGCCUACGCACAUUCACAGAAGAAAAAUACUGACAAAAAAUAUAUAUAUUGGCAUUCAAUCAGAAUAUGACACAAGUAAUGUGUAAUUAAAAUGUAAAAAUAAAUUUUUUUCCCAGUUAUUAUUUAAAAUAGACCAUUUUAAAUAAUAGCUGGAGUGGAGUUCCCAUCGUGGCUCAGCUGAAAUGAAUCUGACUGGCAACCAUGAGGAUACAGGUUCGAUCUCUGGCCAUGCUCCAGUGGGUUAAUGACCUGGCGUCGCUGUGAGCUGUGGUGUAGGUCACAGACUCGGCUAGGAUCCCAUGUGCUGUGGCUGUGGUGUAGGCCCGCAGCUACAGCUCCGAUUUGACCUCUGGCCUGGGAACAUCCAUAUGCCACGAGUAUGGACCUAAAAAGACAAAAAUAAAAUAAAAUAGGCUAUUGUUUAUUUAAAUGUAGUAUAAUGUAUGUUUUUAUGAAUGCUAUUUGUAUACAAAAAAUAAAUUUUAUAAAGUCUUUUGCUGCCUGUGAGAGAGAAGUUUGGGGGCUAAAAAAAGUAUACUGUUUUGGUUGUAGCACUGGUGCUUUUGAUAGGAAAAAAAAAAGCAUUUUUAAAACCAAAAAUGAGCUAUUUCCAUUGUGAUGAAUUUUACAUUAUUCAGCAGUUGUGUAUUGAAUUCACAGCUUAUCUAAUUCCUUUAUUUUCCUCUCCUUUUAAAAACUGGCCUUCAUUUUAGUCACUCCAUCAGAUAAAAUAUAAAGAUUAACAAAGAAUGAACUAACUGUGAUGGCUAAAUGAAAAGAUAUUGUUUGAAAUACCUGUGGUAACCCAUUCUGGCCUUGUCUUCUCAUUUGUUCACUUCCAACCCUGGGAGUCAUUACAUUUUAAUGAUGCGCUGAACUUCUGUGUAGCCUCUCAGCGGUUUUGGUCUAGUAUGGUGUGGCAGACCCGUUUUAACUGAGAGUGUUCUGUCCCAAUUAACUGCAAACAACUCUGACAAGUUACUCUUCAGCCAGUACAUUUUCAAAAACUAUUUCUUCAGUCCAGGAGAAACUAAAUUUGCAAUUGUCCUUAAGGUAGAGGAAAGGUAUUUGAAGGUCUUGAUACAACUGCUAAUUCCUUCUGGGAAACCUAUUAGCUGUAGUUGCAGCAACACCAUCUAUUAUUAAUCUUCUUGCUGAAUUAUUACAGUAUUUCUGAGGAAAACGGAUUAAUUUGUGAAAUCUGACAGGUUCUCUUGAUUUAAAUGGUAGGUGGCUCUGUUAAGCACUAGGAAGUCCUUUAGUUAUGUAAAUCCUUAAUAAUACAGGCCUGAACUGUGGAAACUGAGAGAUGUCCCCGAGGGACACAGUGGAUUCUGGCAGGUGGAAGGGUGUGAGGAAUGCUGUCUGUUUGUGAUGGUUUGAAUGUGUCCAGGUUGCAAUCAGAGGAAUGGGCUAAGUGACUUUAGAGGUUCCUUCUGGACCAAAGAGUGUUUCCUAUAAUUAACUGUUAUUUGCUGCUCAGUAACAGCAAUUUCAGUCUAUCUAUCUAUCUAUCUAUCUAUCUAUCUAUCUAUCUAUCUAUCUAUCUAUCUAUCUAUCUAUCUAUCUAUUUUAGGGCUGCACCCUCGGCAUAUGCAUGUUCCCAGGCUAGGGGUCAAAUUGGAGCUACAGCUGCCCGUCUACACCACAGCCACAGCAAUGCCAGAUCCGAGCCAUGUCUGCGACCUACACCACAGCUCAGAGCAAUGCCAGAUCCUUAACCUACUGAGCAAGGGCAGGGACUGAACCCUCAACCUCAUGGUUCCUAGUCAGAUUUAUUUCCACUAUGCCACGACAGGAACUCCUCAGUCUCCGUAUUUAGAUUCCUAUAUGCCCCUCUGCUUCUUUUCGUAGGUAGCCCAGAUAUGAAAUAAAGCUUCUCGUGCUCCUGAUGUCUAAUUAUUUUUUUCUCAGACCUUUGCUAAAAUCAUGGUUUUGGGAGUCUAGAGCUUGCCUCAUAAUUUCUGUUCAUUUUCAGAGCUUUCAUUCAUACAGUGAAAUACCUCUAUUUUUCUGCCUCUCUUUUAUCUCACAGCAACUAAGAGUUCAAAAUUAUUUUCCUGCUUUUUUUCCAAAGGGAUUUUCACUCCUUUCCCCUCCACCAUCAAACCUACACACCUAAACUGGAAGAGAAUUACCUCUUAGGGUAACUAGUCACUUUGGCAAGGCAGCAGUUUAUUAGACAUGUUAUAUUUGAUUAUAAUACCUCUCCUUUCCCAAAUACCAGCUGUAAAAGAAUUCCCUCCUUUUUCCUUUUACGGCCUCUCUUCCUUUAAAAGUAUUUUUAAAACAUUACUCCAUGGCAUAGCAACCCAUCUGGAACUGUUUGGAGGUAGGCUGCCUCUGUUUAUUCCAGAGUCAGCUCUGGUGUCAACUCUGUAACUUCUCCUGUUACAUAGGAUGUGGUCUGGGAAAGUGGGGCCAAAGUAAAAUUCCAGCACAGAUCUGUCCAACUGAUGUUGAUAAGCCCUGCUGUUUCUACUACAUCUCUGUUAGGGGUAAAGAUGCUAAAAAGUAGCAUAUCAAGACAAAUUAGAAAUAUAGGUGAUCCAGGAGUUCCCGUCGUGGUGCAGUGGUUAACGAAUCCGACUAGGAACCAUGAGGUUGUGGGUUCGGUCCCUGCCCUUGCUCAGUGGGUUAACCAUCCGGCGUUGCCGUGAGCUGUGGUGUAGGUUGCAGACGCGGCUUGGAUCCCGCGUUGCUGUGGCUCUGGUGUAGGCCAAUGGCUACAGCUCCGAUUUGCCCCCUAUCCUGGGAACCUCCAUAUGCCGCGGAGCGGCCCAAGAAAUAGCAAAAA
rnacentral:lncRNA from 1 species